rnacentral:rRNA from 1 species
CCUACGGGAGGCAGCAGUAGGGAAUUUUGCUCAAUGGGCGAAAGCCUGACCCAGCAACGUCGCGUGAACGAGACCCCUUUCGUGGUUUAAAAUUCUGUUAGUGGGGACGAAAAUUGACGGUACCCACAGACGAAGCACCGGCUAACUCCGGGCCAGCAGCCGCGGUCAUACGGCGGGUGCCAGCGUUGUCCGGAAUCAUUGGGCGUAAAGAGUUCGUUGGCGGGAUUUAAAGUUCGGUGGUAAAGGCGCAGGUUCAACCUGUGUAUGGCACUUGAUCCUUGCAAGCUGGAAUGCGGGAGAGGUAAAGGGAAUGCCUGGUGUAGCGGUGAAAUGCUUAGAUAUCAGGAGGAACAUCGGUGGCGUAAGCGCUUUACUGGGCCGUAAUUGACGCUGAGGAACGAAAGCCAGGGUAGCAAAUGGGAUUAGAUACCCGAGUAGUC